GGCAGAGCCCGGGGAGGGACCGGACCCGUUAGCGGCUGAUUGAGUGCCUGUCAUUUAUUACAAUACUGGGACAAGGAGAAACAAUGAGAUGAAUGUCACGCUUCCCAGAGGUGUCAGAUAAGGGCAUGAUGCUGCUGGCAUUGCUGUAGCACCACGAUGGGUUGGAAGGAGCACCUCUGCCCUCUUCUGGGACAGCCACAGCCUCACUUGACCUCUGCAACAAUUUAA
rnacentral:lncRNA from 1 species